GUGUGCCGCAGGGGUAGGUUACUGUGGGGACGUCCGCAUAUUUUUACGGCGCUUCAUGCGUGCACGAAAAUCGCACAGUUGUACCUGAGAUUUACCAGAAUUUUCACUUUAGUCCCCAACGUUUCUGAGGGUAAAAUGUCGAGAUAGCCCCUGUACUUCCUAUAUUGCAACUCCUGUCCCUGUAAUUCCCGUGCGAGUGUUCUAUUAUUCCAUCCUUAACAUUGUAAAAAAUUUAUCAUUUUAAUUUAUUAUAAAAAAAAAUAUUCCUGUGAAAUUACAGCGACUACAGCAGCAACUUCCCCUAAUCCCAAGAAAUUACUCCUGUGGAAUUGGAGAGUGCCUAUCUAGUGUUUGAUGGAAUGUCUCAAUGAAUACUCCUUGAUAAUUCACCUUAUAUCUAUCAUGCAUGUGAGCAGAGGUGUUAAGACUAUUCCUAACUUAACUGCUUCUAUCAAAUCGAUCUUUUCGGUAGCAAUCGUAACUGAGAAAUGCGGGUUGUAGCUUGAUUUGGCUUGCACUUUUGUGGCUGCUCUUCUGGUUUGUUCGCCUUUUCUUCAGAAAAUGAAGGGGCUGUCUGCCGGAACGAUGUCUUUCUUCUUGUAGCUUCCGGACGUUCUGAGCAGCUCUUCUGAACCUCUUUCGACA